rnacentral:lncRNA from 1 species
GUUUUUUCAAAAAUCAUAUGGAAUAGAUGAAAUAUAUUUGGUUUAGGCAAGGUGUACAUUUUUUGGUCUGGUUAGUAAUAUCUGACCUUUACAUUAUUUGCAUAAGUCAUUGGUCAAUGAUAAAUUUCUCUGAUUUGGUCUGUUGUUCCGAUUCUAUAAGGAUAGUAUGACUACCGGUACAUUUAAUUUAUUAAAUAAUUGAAAAGUGUGUGCGUCUUUCUGGGAGGUGUCAGUUGAUCUUGACCUUAUUUUCAUGGUUCUUAGUCAACGUUCAAUUAUAUUGAUGUUUGUGUUAGAGCAAAGAAAUCUUAUAUAUAGAUGCACCUAUGGUAGCACUACAAGACCAAA